rnacentral:tRNA from 1 species
GCUGCAAUAGCUCAGUGGUAGAGGCCCGCUUCGCGUGCGGGGAGACCCGGGUUCGAUUCCUGGUUGCUUCG